UCAGAGAGAUAAGGCAGAAACAGAAAGCAGUAGAGGAGAGGGUGAAGGGGGAGAAGGACUGUUUACACUUCCCUUUAGGUUAUAGUUCACUAGGCACAGAGAAACCUUUAGGCUGAACUUAAAAUAUGUGAGUAGCUUUAGGCUAAACUUGAUUUAACAGGGAGAAACAGGACUUUGCAAAAAUUCUUUUAGGGAGUGUACUAUCGAGCACAUUUGAAGACCACAGGUCUGGAAAGCGGGGAAGACGGGACCCAGAGUCCCCCGCAGCAGCGUCACGGCCCAGCUCUGGUUCUCAAGUUGGGCUGCUGUUUUUCCCUUUUUUCUCUUCCGCCAGGAUGCCAGGCGCUGCUGAAGCUGCAGCCGAAAGGAUUUAGAAUUCCUUACAACGGAGAAAGGGUCUUUGCUCAGACAACAUGGACUUAAGAGAUGGAAGGGCCAAAAAGGCUCGAAAACAGGCUCGAAGAGUGGCUUCCUGCUAGCUAGAAGCUUAAGUGGGGACAGAUGAGCUUAACCGGCAAGCCUGCGUGUGUGCUCUCCAGCCCCCGUGAUUCAGUUUAAAUCUGGGCGGGUCUCCUCAAAGACAGUUCCAGAAUGGGCCACGUGAGGGCAGUAAGAGCCUCUCAAUGCCUGUUUUUGGGGGAAGAGAGAAGUGAGGGCGGAGCGCGGGGAGUGUCCCAGGCCUGGCUACCCAGAUAACUUCCCGAAAAGAAGCUAUGCUCAGGCCUUCCCAUCGUCCCACUGAAGAGCUUUCUUCAUAUUGGUCCCUUGGUUGAAUUCUGUCUUCUGAAGAGGCAAGAAUUGAGGUUGCUGCAGACCUGUAUGGAUUCGCCACCAGUAACAAGAUCUCAGAACAUUGGGAAAAUCGAUGCCAAAAAAAAAAGGAUAUCUUAGGCCCCUCUCCUUCCUCCAGCCAACGUCAACCUGCACCCAGCAGGCUGGGCAGGAAGCUCAGUGUCUUCAUCCCAGCCAGUCUCUGAAGAGAAACUGGAAACGUUUCCAGUUAACUAAGCCAGUUGCUCCAAAAAGGCCCCCCAUUCCUGGGUCACUUUCCUCUGACCUGUUCCUAAGUCAGGUUUGCACUGGUUUGGGGUGGAUGGGCUGCAAGAACUGUUUUCAGAUUUCCCAGACCUCGCUCUCUCCUUUUCGUAAACACCUUGACCUAAAUUUCCCAUCCACUGCUUGCUGGUCAGCACUCCAUUGACAAUUUCCAACUUCAGCUGUUCCUAAAGGAACAACUGGGGUCCAAGAUAGCCCAUUGGACCUAUCUGCCUUAAACAGUAGAGUUCCUGUUCUCUCCUCUGGGGUGGUUGUCACAGGAACUCAUGGCAACCAGAUCUUCCCCAACAGAGGAACUUCUCAAAGUUGUGGGUGGUUAUCAGGGCCAGGCAGAGGCUAUGCUGUUGUAUAUAGUGAUGCCUCUGGGGGAUUCACAACGAAAGAACCAUGAGUGGGUGUGUGGGUGUGUGGAGAGAGAUAGAGAGACGAGACAGAGAGAGCACCAAGAGACUUUUGUCACGGUAGCCAGGAAUGGACUAUUUUGGGUUAUUUUGAGUUGGAAUCUCACUCUGUCACCCAGGCUGGAGUGCAGUGGUGCCAUCACAGCUUACUGUAGCCUCUAAUUCCUGGGCUCAAGCAAUCCUCCCACUCCAGCCUCCCAACUGGCUAGGACUACAGGCUUGCAGCACAGACGCGGUGGCUGUGCACCUGUGGAGUUCAAGACCAGCCUGAGCAACACAAUGAAAUACAAAAAAUACAAAAAUUAGGCGUGGUGGCAUGCACCUGUAGUCCCAGCUAUUUGGAAGACUGAGGCAGGAGGAUAGCUUGAGCCCAGGAGGUGGAGGUUGCAGUGAUCCAAGAUGGCACCAUUGGACUCCAGCCUAAGUGACAGAGCCAGACCCUCUCUCAAAAAAAAAAAAAAAAAAAAAAAAUCCCCAGCUUUUCCACUUAGUGGCUAUAAGAUCUUGCUGAUUUAAGAUAUUCAGCUUCUUGGAGCCAAAGUUUCCCCAUCUGUAAAAUGGGAAUGACAAUAAUAAUACCUACCUGAUAGUGGUUUUGAUGAUUACACAAUGUAAUAUGUAUAAACGGCC